rnacentral:rRNA from 1 species
GACAGAGGGUGCAAACGUUGUCCGGAAUUAUUGGGCGUAAAGAGCUCGUAGGCGGCUUGUCACGUCGGUUGUGAAAGCCCCGGGGGCUUGACCCCCGGGGUCUGCAGUCGAUACGGGCAGGCUAGAGUGUGGUAGGGGAGAUCGGAAUUCCUGGUGUAGCGGUGAAAUGCGCAGAUAUCAGGAGGAACACCGGUGGCGAAGGCGGAUCUCUGGGCCAUUACUGACGCUGAGGAGCGAAAAGCGUGGGGAGCGAACAGG